GAACAAAAGCAGCAUCAGGAAGUGCUGGCUGCAUUCUCAGUGCUGAUUGUGCAGAAGGGCCUCAUAAUGGCAUCAAUAGUAGCUCAGAAGCACAGGGAUUUUUCUUCUCUAAAAAAUGUCUCAGAGUCAAGGAAAACUUAAUGCUUGAUAUUCUCCAGGUCCUGCAGCCUGCCUUUUCCAGGCAUCAUUGGUAACUCCUAUUAUUUUUGUAGGCAGAAUUUCGUGGAAAAUAUUUCAUUUUGCUUUCCUAAUAUGUAUAUUUUUGACAACCUCAGUGAGCCAGAAUUAGAUAAAACAGAACUUUGAGUUCAGUGGCUUUGUUUUUGCUUUUAGCUAUCUAUGCAUCUUGGGAUGAAGAGAAAGUCUUGGCAAAAACGCACAAUUUGGUUCUACAUAAUACAACACAGUAUACAUGUACAUGCACAUUGAAACGACUGAUGGAGCUUGGCAGAAGUAUUUGCAACCUGAAGACAAUAAUGAUCAUUUUCCUAAGAAAAAAAACCAACAACAGAUUUUGCUGUACUCCAGCAGAGCUGAGAUGCAAGACCAAGACUGCCUUUAAUUGCUUGGCUUGUGUCAAAAUCUGAUGACUAUUUUGGGGAAUGAAAGAAGGGGAGAAAAAGUAAAAGGUUUCUUUUGGAGAUGGAGUCUCAGUAGCUUCCAGAAGAGUUCAAGGGGAUCCAUGUUUAAUGAAGUGUCUCCUCCAGCUUGCACUCAGCAGGCACUAGAAGAGCGAUGCCGGGGCGGACAAGCCCACCUCCCCAGCAGCAGUCCCGUUGUCUCUGCACUGACACAUCAGCAUUGCUACCACACUGUCUCUCUGCUGGGCUGGGAACAGCCAGCUUCAACCUGCUGCCUUGUUUACUAA
rnacentral:lncRNA from 1 species